CGGCGGGGGGCUGAGGCUACCGAAACGGGGCAACCCAGCCAACAGCCCGGCGGGGGCGGCCGAGGAGGCGGAGGGAGAGGCGGAGGCGAGAGCGGCGGCCGGUAAAGGCAUGGAGGGCCGGCUGAGGAUGUCGUUGAUGCCGUGCGGGGUGGCCGCCGAGAGCUGCGGAGGGGCCGAACCCAACCCCGAGAGCCCCCCCGGGGCGGCGGCGGAGGCGGCGGCGGAGGUCGCCUUCAAGCCGGGGGAGCCGAGCGGCGGGGAGGGGGAAGCGGAGGCGGGCGAAGCGGAGGAAGAGGAGGAGGAGGCCGGUCCGGAGGGCAAGGGGUACGCGGGGUAGAGGGGUGCCUUCAUCUCGGCCAUGCUGUGCAGGGCGGCCAGGGGCGGGCUGCCCAGCAGGAAGGCGCCCUGCCGGGGGGCGCCGUCCAUCUGCCCCAGCGCCAGCAUCCCCGCCGCCGCCGCCGCCGCCACGCCGCCGGGCCCCUAAAACCUCGGGGUCCCGGCGGCCGGCCGGGGGGUGCCUCCCGCACCGGAGCCCCGCAUCCAGCCCGCGGGGGACGUCGCCUCCUCCUCCUCCUCCUCCUCUUCCUCCUCCUCCUCCUCUUCCUAGAGGCGGGGAGCUGAGCGCCCGAGCGGCGGCCCCGCCGCCCCGCCGGGCAUCGGGGCUGCGCCUCGGCGGCUUCCCGGCGAGAAAAAAGAGCGCGGAGCUGCUGUCGGCGGGUUUAUCUAUAUCUCUUUAUCUCUAUAUACGCGUAUAUGCGCAGGGUCCGUGCGUAUACGCGUAUAUACCUCCUCUCCCCGGGCCUGCCAGGAGCUCACAGCGGCGCGGGGGCCGCCGCCUCCUCCCCGGUGCCCCGCAUCCCUCCCGGCGCUGGUCCCGCUGGCUCUCCGGGGGAUGGAUGGAUGGAUGGAUGGAUGGAUGGAUGGAUGGAUGGAGGGCGGCCGUCGGGGCUGUGGGCGCUGCGGGCUCGGCUCGGGGCGCACUGCCGGGCCCCCCCCGCUCCCCGCCGCCUUUAGCGGGGGCAGGGCCGGCGGCUCGGG
rnacentral:lncRNA from 1 species